AUUGAACGCUGGCGGCAGGCCUAACCCAUGCAAGUCGAACGAGUGGCGGACGGGUGAGUAAUGUCUGGGCAACUGCCUGAUGGAGGGGGAUAACUACUGGAACCGGUAGCUAAUACCGCAUACUAUCGGAUGUGCCCAGAUGGGAUUAGCGAGUAGGUGGGGUAAAGGCUACCCUAGGCGACGAUCCCUAGCUGGUCUGAGAGGAUGACGAGCGAUGCUGGAAAGGGGAAGCGGGCCAGACCCUGACGCGAGGGAGCGUGGGGGAACAUACCGCAUUGCAGGCAAGCAAGAGGAAGCCCUGCGGCAUGUACGAAGAAGCCCCUGCGGUUAUAAAGUACUUCCAGCGCGGAGGCGUUACCCGCAGAAGAAGCACCGGCUAAGCUUGUGCCGGCAGCCGCGGUAAUAC
rnacentral:rRNA from 1 species